rnacentral:rRNA from 1 species
UACGUAGGGGGCAAGCGUUGUCCGGAUUUAUUGGGCGUAAAGAGCGUGUAGGCGGUUUGGUAGGUCCGCUGUGAAAACUCGAGGCUCAACCUCGAGACGCCGGUGGAAACCAUCAGGCUAGAGUCCGGAAGAGGAGAAUGGAAUUCCUGGUGUAGCGGUGAAAUGCGCAGAUAUCAGGAAGAACACCCGUGGCUAAGGCGGCUCUCUAGUACGUGACUGACGCUGAGACGCGAAAGCGUGGGGAGCGAACAGG